rnacentral:rRNA from 1 species
UAGAGUUUGAUCCUGGCUCAGAAUCAACGCUGGCGGCGUGCCUAACACAUGCAAGUCGAACGCGAAAGUCCCGCAAGGGAUCAGUAGAGUGGCAAACGGGUGAGUAACGCGUGGGUGACCUGCCUUCGAGCGGGGGAUAACGUUCCGAAAGGGACGCUAAUACCGCAUAACAUCCUGUCUUUUAAGAGGUGGAGAUCAAAGCCUGGGACCGCAAGGCCAGGCACUCGAAGAGGGGCCCGCGUCCGAUUAGCUAGUUGGUGGGGUAAUGGCUCACCAAGGCUCCGAUCGGUAUCCGGCCUGAGAGGGCGGACGGACACACUGGGACUGAGACACGGCCCAGACUCCUACGGGAGGCAGCAGUGGGGAAUUGUUCGCAAUGGGCGCAAGCCUGACGACGCAACGCCGCGUGAGUGAUGAAGAUCUUCGGGUC